CAACCGGCCCUGUGUCCGGCAUGUGCCAGGAAAUGCAGAGGGUUCCCCAGGUCGGGGAAGGGUAGUCCAGAUGCUGGUGUGGGGGCUCCCCAGGCCUGGGCUGUCCUUCCAGGAACUCCCAGCCCCUUCCUGCCUGGCUUCCUGCCCAAGCCCUUCCUGGAAACCCAGCCCACCCAGCCCCCCAUAACAGGGCCGAUGUUUCCAUGGCGGCUCACCCCGGCCUGCCCAGUCAGCGCCCUUCCUUUCACUUUCCGUACUGAGAGUUUGGGAAAACAGCUUGGUGGGAAGGAGAUCCACACGGCCUCAGCCCAAGGAGUCCCACCCUACAAAGUCCUUCAUUGUCGUUGAGGAUCACAGGUACCUGCUCACGGGUUUAUUUUCUUGAUCAGCAUGUCAGCUCUUAGCUACUGCUCCAGCUCCAUGCCUGCCGGCCUGCCACCAUGCUUCCUACCAUGAUGGCUAUGGACUCACCCCCUGAAGCUGCAGACCCCCAAAUAAAGCUUUAUUUUAUAAGUUGCCUUGGUCGCGUUGUCUCUUCGCAGCAGUAGAAAAGUAACUG
rnacentral:lncRNA from 1 species